rnacentral:rRNA from 1 species
CACGCCGUAAACGAUGGGUACUAGGUGUAGGGGGUAUCAACUCCCCCUGUGCCGUCGUUAACACAGUAAGUACCCCGCCUGGGGAGUACGGUCGCAAGAUUAAAACUCAAAGGAAUUGACGGGGGCCCGCACAAGCAGCGGAGCAUGUGGUUUAAUUCGAGGCAACGCGAAGAACCUUACCUAGACUUGACAUCUCCUGAAUUACCCUUAAUCGGGGAAGCCCUUCGGGGCAGGAAGACAGGUGGUGCAUGGUUGUCGUCAGCUCGUGUCGUGAGAUGUUGGGUUAAGUCCCGCAACGAGCGCAACCCUUAUUGUCAGUUGCUACCAUUUAGUUGAGCACUCUGGCAAGACUGCCCGGGUUAACCGGGAGGAAGGUGGGGAUGACGUCAAAUCAUCAUGCCCCUUACGUCUAGGGCUACACACGUGCUACAAUGGCAGGUACAAAGAGAAGCAAUCCCGCGAGGAGGAGCCAAUCUCAUAAAACCUGCCCCAGUUCAGAUUGCAGGCUGAAACUCGCCUGCAUGAAGUUGGAGUUGCUAGUAAUCGCGAAUCAGCAUGUCGCGGUGAAUACGUUCCCGGGCCUUGUACACACCGCCCGUCACACCAUGAGAGUUGGCAAUACCCGAAGUCCGUGAGGUAACUUGUAAAAGAGCCAGCGGCCGAAGGUAGGGUCAGCGAUUGGGGUGAAGUCGUAACAAGGUAGCCGUAGGAGAACCUGCGGCUGGAUCACCUCCUU